rnacentral:rRNA from 1 species
CUAAGGCCGAUGGCGACCGGCGCACGGGUGCGUAACGCGUAUGCAACCUACCUUUAACAGGGGGAUAACACUGAGAAAUUGGUACUAAUUCCCCAUAACAUUCGAGAAGGCAUCUUCUUGGGUUAAAAACUCCGGUGGUUAAAGAUGGGCAUGCGUUGUAUUAGCUAGUUGGUGAGGUAACGGCUCACCAAGGCAACGAUACAUAGGGGGACUGAGAGGUUAACCCCCCACAUUGGUACUGAGACACGGACCAA